GUGCCUAUGAGGGAGGGGAGUGCGACAGGGGGAAGGUUAUCAUCAUCUGUCAGAUCUGAACUUAAACAACAAGAAACAUGUCAGGCUCUGCUGCAGCAAGGGGGAACACUAGGGCAGAAAGAGGCUGAAACUGAGGACCAGGCUGGUAAGAAGAUUGACAGUGACAGUGAAAACGAUCAAGACUCUGUCUGCCAAGUUUGCAGGUUCCUAUUCCACUCUCUCCUGAUUUCCAAGGCUCGGUUUCUGAGCGCCUAUAGGCAGAAAGAAGAGUUGAGGAGCCCGGAAUGUUCACCAUGCCAGCGGACUGGCUUGCUGCGAGGCAGGUGGCCGCGGCAGAACCGGUUGGGAUGAGUUACGGCACCACCUCGGAUUCUGGGAUUCCCGCACUACUUUGCGGCUCUUCCUGCGCUCCAGAGCGCUCCUUUGAAACGAGCGCAAAAGGCACAAAUUUUGAGUAGCUAAACUCGUUUGCCCGAGACAGCAGCGCUUAGACAGACAAGCCGGGAGCGGAGAGCUUGCCUUGCUCCCCGUGGGUACGCUGCCAAAGUGGCGCUUGAUCGUUAGUGAAAAAAAAAAAAGACGGAGCGAUAUGGCUCAGUCCGGCGUUUGCAGGGGGAAGCAGACGAUUGCGAGUGAAGGCCCCAUGAGUCCAGCUCCGCCUGGACUACGCGGCUCCCCACCUCUGGCGGCCGCGGCUCCUGUUCCCCAGGACGUGCUCGCAGUUCCAACCUCUAAUCCUAGUCCUCAGCUGGCGCAGGCUGGCUGAAGGAUCGCGCAACUAGGCGGAAUGUGUUGACUCCAUCCUCCAGGGGAAUUCAGAUUGGACUGAAAGGAAAAAAUUUCCCAGACCUGGGCAGCAGCAGUCGCCGAUGAAACUGACCUUCAUGACACUGACCAGAGAUAAACCUCUUGGCAUGAGACAGCCUGGCACACCACUGAUCACUCGGUUGGGGACUAGGGACAAGCAGCCCACUACCACGAAAUUUACCAGCGUGUACUUAAAGAGAAAACCCGAGAUGCCUAAAACAGAUGGGUGCACAACAGAACACUGUUCACUGUUAACCGACCACCUGAAACCGUUCUCAGUGAGGCUACCCUGAAAUUAACUUGACUGGGUGAAAGGAACCAGAAUGAAAUCCACCUGCCUGUUAACACAGCCACUUACCCACAGCAAGAGAUUGGAGCAGAGGCUGAAGAGUGCGGCGGGGUGGAGCCGGGAGGGGGCUAGUCUCUGGGUGCUCCUGAGAACCUGACUGGUGCCGCUGCGGGGAUUGGGGGAGGGGGUUGUCCAGUGCUUUUUAAUUUACGACCGCCGCGCCCCAAGCCAUCCCAUAAAUUUGGGGGCCGUUUUCACCAAAGCUGUGAGUUACGAUUUUUCAAAUAAAUACAUUUUCCAAUCAGACGGGGUUCUGUUUAGGUUGAACGCGUCCUGAAGCAGACAUCUCUCUGCGCGGAACAUACACAGAGGAGGAAGCGGGGCCGGGGCGAAGCUCAGACGACAUAAAAACUUGUGUAAACACGUUGUCAUUUACGGACUUCGGAAGAGAAAGGGAAUGGGAGAGGAAAAUGUUUAAUUCUCCCUUGAAUCCUGGGGUUCCAGACCCGAGGGAAAACGUGGAAAUUUUAAUAUUCUUUUUCCAUAAGCUUGAUUUGUGUUAGGCAUUGGACAAUGGGCAGCAUCAGGUUUACCUUAAAUAGAUUCCGUAAUUUUGAGGCUGUUACAAACCUAAGAAUGGACAGAGUUUCAUUCCCCCACCCCCCACGCACACACACACCGCACACUCUUAGUUUUUCUUUAGGAAAGAGUGUGGGGGAGAUAAACCAGAAGGGGUUAUUUUAGCAGCAAGGUCUCCGAUUUCUAGCUGUGCCUCCCCGUCCUCUAGGUCUGUUUUGCCACCUGUAAAACAAGGGGGAUAGGACUAGGA
ensembl:lncRNA